GAUGAACGCUGCCAGAAUGCUUAACACAUGCAAGUCUUUGGCGAAGCUGUGCUUGCACAGCCUAGCCAAGGCGGACGGGUGAGUAACGCGUAAGGAACUUGCCCUGCAGUCAGGGAUAACAGACGGAAACGACUGAUAAGACCUGGUAAAGUCAGGCGGACUCAUGUCCAGCCUGAUGAAAAGAGAUGCUGCAGGAGAGCCUUGCGUCCUAUUAGCUUGUUGGUGGGGUAACGGCCCACCAAGGCGAUGAUAGGUAGCCGGCCUGAGAGGGUGGACGGCCACAAGGGGACUGAGAUACGGCCCUUACUCCUACGGGAGGCAGCAGUGGGGAAUAUUGGACAAUGGGGGCAACCCUGAUCCAGCAAUUCUGUGUGCACGAUGAAGGUUUUCGGAUUGUAAAGUGCUUUCAGCAGGGAAGAAAAAAAUGACGGUACCUGCAGAAGAAGCGACGGCUAAAUACGUG
rnacentral:rRNA from 1 species